rnacentral:rRNA from 1 species
UACGAAGGGGGCUAGCGUUGUUCGGAAUCACUGGGCGUAAAGCGCAUGCAGGCGGGUAGGUAAGUUAGGGGUGAAAUCCCGAGGCUCAACCCCGGGACUGCCUCUGAUACUGGCGACCUUGAGUCCGGGAGAGGUGAGUGGAACUGCGAGUGUAGAGGUGAAAUUCGUAGAUAUUCGCAAGAACACCAGUGGCGAAGGCGGCUCACUGGCCCGGUAUUGACGCUGAGGUGCGAAAGCGUGGGGAGCAAACAGG